rnacentral:rRNA from 1 species
CUAGUCUUAUCGGUGGAUCACUCGGCUCGUGGAUCGAUGAAGAACGCAGCCAACUGCGAUAAUUAGUGUGAACUGCAGAAACCUUCCUUGAACACAGAACUUUCGAAUGCACAUUGCGCCAUUGGAGUGACAUCCAUUGGCACGCCUGGUUCAGGGUCGUAA